UUCCGUAGGGUGACCUGCGCAGGGAUCAUUA
rnacentral:rRNA from 2 species